rnacentral:rRNA from 1 species
UACGAAGGGGGCUAGCGUUGCUCGGAUUCACUGGGCGUAAAGGGUGCGUAGGUGGUGAGGUAAGUCGGAUGUGAAAUCUCCAGGCUCAACCUGGAAACUGCAUUGGAAACUACCUUGCUAGAGGUUUUGAGGGGGGACUGGAAUUCUCGGUGUAGCAGUGAAAUGCGUAGAUAUCGAGAGGAACACCAGUGGCGAAGGCGAGUCCCUGGAAAACACCUGACACUGAGGCACGAAAGCUAGGGGAGCAAACAGG